rnacentral:sRNA from 1 species
UCUUCCGUCAGGAAGGAGGUGAACGUAUUUGCUGUAUUACAUGAUUUCGCUUUUCACUUCUGUUAUGGUAGACAUUAUCCUGUAUAAGGUCUACAAAUGGCUAGACAGGAAGUAAGCCCGACAAAUAGCCUAACACAUUGCCUGAUUCCACUUGGAUAAGGCGAAAGCCCUCAGAGCUGCAACUCUGGGGGCUUUCUUUUUGCG